rnacentral:lncRNA from 1 species
ACGGGGAGGACCGUGUAGGUGAAGGCUUUCCACAAGCCAUGGAGCACAAUGCAUGGAAUAAUCUGGAGACUCGCCCCAGAGAAGGUCCUGGCUCUCCUGUCUCAGCCUCCCUCUGGCAUCCCCAGGACUCAGUCCACCCUGAUAACUGGGAGAAGUACGCAGGCCUCAGGAGCUGAGGAAGGCCAAACCCGAUCCCUGGCUUCCUGAAGGUUAACCAGUCGGAGCUCCUCCUGUGUGUUGGCCUGGAAGAUUCCAUGGCCUGGGCCAGGUGUGGCAGGGCUUGUGGACGCUGGGAUGGCCCUUGAUGCUAUGGGUCAAGGACGAUGAGUCAGGCCAGCGCAGCCUUUCUGCCAAGCUGGAAUAUAGGAGGCCUGGGCACAUGAAGUCAGGUCCAGCUGAGCGAGCCAACUUGGGAGCCUGGCGCUUCCGAGUCCAUAAAGGUGUUUUAUGUGGAAAAGAAUGGCUGGUCCUCCAUCAUAAAGCUGGCUUUGGAGCGUGCAGCUACCGAGGUCGAGGAGCCCUGUGCCAACCCUGCACCGUGCAAAGUGCUACAAAGCCGGCUUUUGCCUCCAAGACGAGAGCAGAUUGGUGCCCGGGCAGCCCCUGA